ensembl:lncRNA
GUGGACUAGUUAAGAAUGUCAAAAGAAAUCCAAAUCAGUUAGCAGGGAGAGAGUUCAACAUUUUUUGGCAUGAUCAUUUAUAUUUGUUACAGAGACACCCAGUGUCAGAAACCAGGACCAGACCUCUUUGGAUAAUACUCCAACUCUAGAUUCAUCAUAUACCCACCCCCAGAGGAGCCCCUCCCCCUCCAAUCAUUCUGAUGUUGGGGACCAGUCCAUAAGGAGCCCCUCUCCCUCAUCCAGGAGCCCCUCUCCCUCAUCCAGUCAUUCUGGGAACCACAGAGGAGGCUCCCAUUCUGGUGGUCCUCCUAGAGCCUCAAAGAGCCAGUCCAUAAGGACCCCCUCAUCCAGUCAUUCCAGGAACCACAGAGGAGGCUCUCGUCCUGGUGGUUCUUCUCGAGCCUCAAACGGCCAGUCCAUGAGGAGCCCCUCUCCCUCAUCCAGUCAUUCUGGGAACCACAGUGGAGGCUCCCAUUCUGGUGGUCCUCCUAGAGCCUCAAACAGCCAGUCCAUAAGGACCCCCUCUCUCUCAUCCAGUCAUUCCAGGAACCACAGAGGAGGCUCCCAUUCUGGUGGUUCUUCUCGAAGUUCAAACGGUAAGUUGACCUAAAUGAAUUGAAGGAAAGAAUGCCGUUUGAACCUUAUUGUCUAGCACAGUGGC